rnacentral:rRNA from 1 species
AGGGUGUAAACGCUGCAGACUUGGUGUUGGAAAUCCUUCGAGGGUAUUCAGUGCCGGAGAGAAGUUGUUAAGUCUGCUACUUGGGGAGUACGUCCGCAAGGAUGAAACUUAAAGGAAUUGGUGGGGGAGCACCGCAACGGGAGGAGCGUGCGGUUUAAUUGGAUUCAACACCGGAAAACUCACCAGGGGAGACUGUUACAUGAAACCCAGACUAAUGAUCUUGGUUGAUUUUCAGAGAGGUGGUGCAUGGCGUCAGUGACU